GCCAACAGUUUGCUAGCUCCUCCUGUGUGAAUCGAACUAAAAUUUACUUUUGAUAUAGACUCUCUCUAGACACUACAUAACCCACGGAGACUAAUUAGUUGUUGUGUGUUAACGUUUUACAUUAAAGAUUUUAACAUUUUUUCGACAUGAAUGUAAUCCUCAUUUACACUAUCAAAGAAAGACUCUAGUAUUUGAAAUGCGUUGAUGAGUAAAGACCUAUUCGGCUGAUAAACAUUGCGAUCUGUAGACUCACAUCAAGUCGGAAAAUUUUCCUAAUGUGCCAAUGACCCAUUCCCGAGUGAAUAAAUACAUGAUUUUCAGAUUGGAAAUUUUUUAUCACAUUUUCCUCAUGUUAAUAAAAAUAGAGCGUCCUCGGCGUUAAUUUCUUGCAGAAUCAUUCAAUCAAAAGCACGCCAUCAAUUUUUAAAUAUUUAAUUUCUGAUGUAUCUAAUUCUGAUCAUCUUGGAUCUUU